GGAAAAUAUAAAUAUGAAUUUAAUAAAAUAAACCAAGCCAUGGGAAAGGAGUCAAAAGAGGAGCAUAGCAACCAAAAGAAAAUACGACAGACAAAACGCAGAGCCGUUGUUUGAUAAACGAAAUUCCCGCGUUUUCAUAGAGAAGCGCCACCCAAAUUUAGCGCAAAAACCAUCAAUAUUUUACCCUGUAAAUUAGGUCAUCUACUGGUUUUGAUUGGAAAAGAAACCUCCUUACCAUCUAGCCGUCAAACAAAAC
rnacentral:misc_RNA from 1 species